CCCUUAGAUGUCCUGGGCCGCACGCGUGCUACACUGACACUUACACCGAGUUUUUCCAAUGCCGAAAGGCCAUUGGUAAUCAGCAAUAAGUGUCGUGAUGGGGAUAGAUCUUUGGAAUUAUUGAUCUUGAACGAGGAAUGCCUAGUAAUCGUAGGUCAUCAGCCUGCGAUGAUUACGUCCCUGCCCUUUGUACACACCGCCCGUCGCACCUACCGAUUGAAUGGUCCGGUGAAGCCUCCGGAUUGCACAGGCCCCGUGUCUGGCGCGAGAAGUUGGCUAAACCUUACCAUUUAGAGGAAGGUGAAGUCGUAACA
rnacentral:rRNA from 1 species